rnacentral:misc_RNA from 1 species
UACAGUUUAAAGACGAAAUUCGUUAGAUAUAUAUUAGUCGGCACACAUGUAGCGAAACAGGUAGGCCUAUACUCGUGUACUUUUGAUAAGAUUCUGAUCGAAAGGGAUUCCACGCGAAAAGUUCCUACAUAACACCUGUUUUUUCAUAGUUGCAAGUUGAAUGAAUAAAGUGUCUGGCGAGAUUCGAACCUACAACCUCUGUCAAAGCGAGUAUCAUACCCAUUAGACCACAAAGACCCAGAGAAUAUAUGUGCACCCCCAGACACUUUCUCUCAUACAACUGAAUGAAACGAUCACACAUAGUGGAGCAUGUGGCGUUUUAAAUAUAAACAUUACUCAGUGGACUACGAAGGAGACUUAACAAUUAAUAACAAAUCUCAAGACAGACAGUGUAUAUUUAUUGGACCUCAUUGGAUAUGGGCUGGACUCCGGCCUAUUGGGCGCCUGAUGCUCGUGAUGUAGACAAAGAAGCCACAACUAUCAGGAAAGAGUGUCCGGUCUCAAUCGUAAUUUCAUAUUCAGAAUUUUUGCAGAAAUAUUUUUGGCUGUUUAUGAAUAAUUAACUUACUAAUUAUUCAUAAAUAGCCAAAAAUCUUUCUGCAAAAAUUAUGAAUAUGAAAUUAAUUAAAAUAUAGUGUAAAUUUUAUUUUUAAAAUGUUUUCCUCUUCAAUAAUCUCAAAAAUAAAUGUUAGCAAUAUGUAGUAAUUCUUGUAUUAAUAUUGUAUUAUUACUGCUAAUGUUUGUCUUAUUAAUAGAGAAAGUAACCCGUUUGUUGUAAAGAAUAUAGACAUGUAUGAUAAUAAGAUAUAACAUUUUGAGGAUUAAAAUCAGAUUUAUUAAUUUUUUCCGGAUGUACAUGAUAUAGUCCUACAGUAUAUAAUUAUAAAAUGUA